GGGCUCACACAAGCGGUGGAGCAUGUGGCUCAAUUCGAAGCAACGCGAAGAACCUUAUCCUGGACUUGACAUGGUUGAAGUAAGAAGCUGAAAGGCGGAUGACCGGUAUCCAAUCCGGAACAAUCACAGGUGCUGCAUGGCUGUCGUCAGCUCGUGCUGUGAAGUGUCGGGUUAAGUCCCAUAACGAGCGAAACCCUUAUUGUUAGUUGCCAGCGGGUCAAGCCGGGCACUCUAACAAGACUGCCGGUGUUAAACCGGAGGAAGGUGGGGAUGACGUCAAGUCCUCAUGGCCUUUAUGUCCAGGGCUGCACACGUGCUACAAUGCCGAUGACAAACCGAAGCGAGACCGUAAGGUGGAGCAAAUCGGAGAAAAAUCGGCCCAGUUCAGAUUGAGGGCUGCAACUCGCCCUCAUGAAGUUGGAAUCGCUAGUAAUCGCGGAUCAGCUAUGCCGCGGUGAAUGUGUUCCUGAGCCUU
rnacentral:rRNA from 1 species